rnacentral:rRNA from 1 species
CCUACGGGAGGCAGCAGUGGGGAAUCUUGCGCAAUGGGCGAAAGCCUGACGCAGCCAUGCCGCGUGUAUGAUGAAGGUCUUAGGAUUGUAAAAUACUUUCACCGGUGAAGAUAAUGACUGUAGCCGGAGAAGAAGCCCCGGCUAACUUCGUGCCAGCAGCCGCGGUAAUACGAAGGGGGCUAGCGUUGCUCGGAAUUACUGGGCGUAAAGGGAGCGUAGGCGGACAUUUAAGUCAGAGGUGAAAUCCCGGAGCUUAACUUCGGAACUGCCUUUGAUACUGGGUGUCUUGAGUGUGAGAGAGGUAUGUGGAACUCCGAGUGUAGAGGUGAAAUUCGUAGAUAUUCGGAAGAACACCAGUGGCGAAGGCGACAUACUGGCUCAUUACUGACGCUGAGGCUCGAAAGCGUGGGGAGCAAACAGGAUUAGAUACCCUGGUAGUCCACGCCGUAAACGAUGAUUGCUAGUUGUCGGGAAGCUUGCUUCUCGGUGACGCAGCUAACGCAUUAAGCAAUCCGCCUGGGGAGUACGGUGCAAGNUUAAAACUCAAAGGAAUUGACGGNGNGAGAGNGCGAGACGACGACGAGGAGAGG